AUGCCCUAAGCAUCCUAUUGCACAUGUUUGUAGGAUGAGUCUUCACUCCAUUCUGGCUUUUACCCUACUCUCCUAGGUGUGAUCUAAGGUAUGCUUGGAUGAGAAGACUAUUUCCUCACAUAGGAGUUGUAGUUUUGUAUUUGACGACUGAGCCCAAGGAGAACUCGGGCAUCUGACUAACUUUAUGGAUCACAUUCAGGACACGGAAGGAGCAAAGCUGAGGCUUCAUAGAACUGGUAUUUCUGAGGCUGUUAUUAACAGUCGCUGCAGUGGUAACAAAGAAUUCAAUAAUUCCUUUCAUCUGAAUCAGCCUUCUUGCAUUUAUCAACCAGGGAAAAGAAAGACAACUAUCCCUAACACUCUUCAGUUUCAAAGGAACAAGCAAGAAACAACGAACUCCUCAGCUCCGAGGAGUACUUUGAUCUCCUUGGAAAAUGGGCACCAUGAAAACAAGAUGCUUCCUUUCUUGAGGAUUGUUUUUCUAUGUUCCUAUUUUUCUCCUUUUAAAACAAAGCUCUCAUCAGAAAAUGAGUAA
rnacentral:lncRNA from 1 species